rnacentral:rRNA from 1 species
AGAAUCAACGCUGGCGGCGUGCCUCAGACAUGCAAGUCGAACGCGAAAGUCCCUUCGGGGGGCGAGUAGAGUGGCGCACGGGUGAGUAACACGUAGGUAAUCUACCUUUGGAUGGGGAAUAACAACCGGAAACGGUUGCUAAUACCGCAUAAUGCAGCGGCACCUAAUGGUGACAGUUGUUAAAGCGGGGGAUCGCAAGACCUCGCGUCUAAAGAGGAGCCUGCGGCGGAUUAGCUAGUUGGUAAGGUAAUGGCUUACCAAGGCGAUGAUCCGUAGCCGGCCUGAGAGGGCGGUCGGCCACACUGACACUGACAUACGGGUCAGACUCCUACGGGAGGCAGCAGUCGGGAAUUUUGGGCAAUGGGCGAAAGCCUGACCCAGCAACGCCGCGUGAAGGAUGAAAUCCUUCGGGAUGUAAACUUCGCAAGAACGGGAAGAAUAAGCCGGUGUUAACACCACCGGCGAUGACGGUACUGUUUGUAAGCUCCGGCUAACUCCGUGCCAGCAGCCGCGGUAAUACGGGGGGAGCAAGCGUUGUUCGGAUUUACUGGGCGUAAAGGGCGCGUAGGCGGCCACCGCAAGUCGGUUGUGAAAUCUCCGGGCUUAACCCGGAAAGGUCAACUGAUACUGCGGGGCUAGAGUGCAGAAGGGGCAACUGGAAUUCUCGGUGUAGCGGUGAAAUGCGUAGAUAUCGAGAGGAACACCUGCGGCGAAGGCGGGUUGCUGGGCUGACACUGACGCUGAGGCGCGAAAGCUAGGGGAGCGAACGGGAUUAGAUACCCCGGUAGUCCUAGCCUUAAACGAUGAAUGCUUGGUGUCUGGGGUUUUAUAGUCCCCGGGUGCCGUCGCUAACGCUUUAAGCAUUCCGCCUGGGGAGUACGGUCGCAAGACUGAAACUCAAAGGAAUUGACGGGGACCCGCACAAGCGGUGGAGCAUGUGGUUUAAUUCGACGCAACGCGAAGAACCUUACCUGGGCUAGAAUGCCUCUGACCGGCGUAGAGAUACGCCUUCCUGGGUAAAACCAGGCAGAGUGCAAGGUGCUGCAUGGCUGUCGUCAGCUCGUGUCGUGAGAUGUUGGGUUAAGUCCCGCAACGAGCGCAACCCUUAUCAAUAGUUGCCAGCGGUUCGGCCGGGCACUCUAUUGAGACUGCCGUUGACAAAACGGAGGAAGGUGGGGAUGACGUCAAGUCCUCAUGGCCUUUAUGUCCAGGGCUACACACGUGCUACAAUGGCGAGUACAAAGCGCUGCAAACACUGCAAGGGGGAGCCAAUCGCAAAAAGCUCGUCUCAGUUCGGAUUGGAGUCUGCAACUCGA